rnacentral:rRNA from 1 species
GUUGACCUCGGAUCAGGUAGGGAUACCCGCUGAACUUAAGCAUAUCAAUAAGCGGAGGAAAAGAAACCAACAGGGAUUGCUCUAGUAACGGCGAGUGAAGCAGCAAUAGCUCAAAUUUGAAAUCUGGCGUCUUCGACGUCCGAGUUGUAAUUUGUAGAGGAUGCUUCUGAGUAACCACCGACCUAAGUUCCUUGGAACAGGACGUCAUAGAGG